AGUGAACGCUGGCGGUAGGCCUAACACAUGCAAGUCGAACGGCAGCACAGUAAGAGCUUGCUCUUACGGGUGGCGAGUGGCGGACGGGUGAGGAAUACAUCGGAAUCUACUUUUUCGUGGGGGAUAACGUAGGGAAACUUACGCUAAUACCGCAUACGACCUACGGGUGAAAGCAGGGGAUCUUCGGACCUUGCGCGGUUGAAUGAGCCGAUGUCGGAUUAGCUAGUUGGCGGGGUAAAGGCCCACCAAGGCGACGAUCCGUAGCUGGUCUGAGAGGAUGAUCAGCCACACUGGAACUGAGACACGGUCAAGACUCCUACGGGAGGCAGCAGUGGGGAAUAUUGGACAAAGGGCGCAAGCCUGAUCCAGCCAUACCGCGUGGGUGAAGAAGGCCUUCGGGUUGUAAAGCCCUUUUGUUGGGAAAGAAAAGCAGCAGGUUAAUACCCCGCUGUUCUGACGGUACCCAAAGAAUAAGCACCGGCUAACUUCGUG
rnacentral:rRNA from 1 species